rnacentral:rRNA from 1 species
UACGUAGGUGGCAAGCGUUGUCCGGAUUUACUGGGCGUAAAGAGCGCGCAGGCGGUCGGAUCAGUCGAAUGUGAAAGCCCCCGGCUCAACUGGGGAGGGUCAUUCGAUACUGUCCGACUCGAAGGCAGGAGAGGGAAGCGGAAUUCCCGGUGUAGUGGUGAAAUGCGUAGAUAUCGGGAGGAACACCGGUGGCGAAGGCGGCAUUCUGGACCGAUAUUGACGCUGAGGAGCGAAAGCCAGGGGAGCCAAACGGG